UACAGAGGGGGCAAGCGUUGUUCGGAAUUACUGGGCGUAAAGGGCGCGUAGGCGGCCCGCUAAGUCGAACGUGAAAUCCCCGGGCUCAACCCGGGAACUGCGUCCGAUACUGGUGGGCUUGAAUCCGGGAGAGGGAUGCGGAAUUCCAGGUGUAGCGGUGAAAUGCGUAGAUAUCUGGAGGAACACCGGUGGCGAAGGCGACAUCCUGGACCAACACUGACGCUGAGUGAGCGAAAGCCAGGGGAGCAAACGGG
rnacentral:rRNA from 1 species